GUCAAAAAAAACCCUAGCCGCCGCCCCUUCUUGUCCAACCCUCGCCCCUCCGCCUCCUCUCCUCCCCACUCCCUCCUCUCCCAGGCCGCCGCCCUCGACACGCCGCCAGGGUGCCAUCGACACGUCAGGGAUAGGCAGUGGUGGAGCGCAGCCCGAGCCCAGCAGCAGUCCACUCCUAACCCCAAGCAAGAGCGAGCAGCGGAUUGGAUCAAGGGAGCCCUCGCGGCCACGCCACUGGCGCCUGGAUUUGCUAGCCGUCGCCUGGAUCCGCCCUAGCCGCCGCCUCGAGUCACCUCCAUCGUUGAUGUGGGUCAACCCCACCGCUGCCGCCAGGAAUCCCAUCCCGGCAAGGGGGCUUGUCCUUCGGUGGUGGUCAUCCGGCGUUUGAGAUUGGAGGGAGACUAGGAGACCCUGGCGGAAGCGAGCCUGCUAGCGGAGGCUCCAGGGAUGCUAGGUGAUAGGGCCCAGUCCAUGGACCGGUUGUGCUGCUGGGAUUUUCAGGAUGAGCCUUCCUACCCAAAAUUAUCGGAUAAAUUCAACAUAUCUGUGGAAAUCUAGUUUUCUGCAGAUUCAGACGACUCUGAAUGUUGUUCCAUAACUGAUGACUCAAAAUGAUUAUACACUGAAACGGAAGCCUUUGGAAAAUGAAACAGAAACCUUACUUGAGAGCAGGUAGAGGCGUGGAGCCAAUGGUGAUGUUGUUGUUGCCUGCUCUUCUAAACUACUGCUUGUUCAUCGUUUGCUGUUUUGCGUAUCAAGGAAGGUAACUACUCAAAGCAGUUGGCAAGGCAAGCAUUCGAUGGAGCUCAAGCGUUGAUCUUGAAGGAAGGUAACUACUCAAAGGUAUGCACCUAUUCAUGUUGGAGCAGUUAAGUUUGCAAGGAUUUGCUGCUGGAGGGCAUGGUAUGUGCUCUCAAGAAGUUCUUUGUGAUCCGGUGACAUCUUUUGGCCUAUUGGGCAACUGGACAUGAUUUAUAUUGCGAAGUUCAAUGUAUGGAUGACAACUUCCUCUCAUAUCUGUUAUGUAUAUUUUAUAUACAUGGCUUUCGUGUUCUAUCAUGUGCGUUCCUGCUGCAGACUUUUGUAGGGAAAUUCACCAUGAGUUAUAAUGUAUAUAUUUUCAACUACAGCCAUUUUUUUCAAAAGGCAAAAUAAUUUCUGCAUGAUCACAUGUCAUGAUUAUCUCCAUGAAAAAUGCUUUAGACAGUACAAAAAUGCUUUAGACUGUACAAAAUUGUAAAGGAAUCAUGGGACAGUGUUGUAUGUUGCUGCUGAACAGAAGCAGGAUGCAACCAUAAAGAUUUUGUUGGAUCACCAUUCAGAUGUAAGUCCCAUUAAAUGUCUCUUUAUCAUUAUCUUAAAUCACAUUCCUUUAUAGUUUUCUCACUGUUAUAUUUGAUAAUCUUCGAUUGUCUGCUUUCUCCAUUUUCCAGUUAAUUUAAUCCCGAUAGUAAAUUAGUUAGUAUUUUGUUUUAUCUCUGAAAUCUCGAGAAGUACACAAGUUGUUAGGUGUCAGAAAAAGUACACAAGUUGUUAACAUUUGAAAUUAGAUUGUCUUUGACCGAACGAAGCUGUUGAGGAAGAAGGGAUAAAUAAGUGCCGAGAAGAAGGGAUUAGUAAGUUGCUUGAUUCAUGGGCCGAACUGGUUGCCAUACGACUGCUUUGAAAUAUACAUGCAUCUAAGUGGCACAUAAUACUCUCUUUUUUCAAACGCACAAAAACAAAGUUGAUAGAAACACUACUCUUUCUAAAAUAGUAUAAGGCCUCCUUAACAGGUUUUAUACAUGGUGUUAAGUAUACAUAUGUUCUGAAGGGGUUUUAUUGCCUAGCAUUUUGAACCCAAGGGGUUUUUCUCUGUCAAAUCAGCUUAUAAAAUUCAGUUUGGUAUUACCCAGCAACAAGCUAACCGUGCUACUGGUGAAGGCUUAGCAGGCUUGCAGUGGAGGAAAGGGGUCUGGCAAGCCGUAUGGAAAGCUCAUUGCCCUCCCAAAGUACAACACUUCUUAUGGAGAUGUCUGUUUGAAGAUGGCGGCCAUCUUUUCCUUCGCUGUAAGGAAGUCAAAAAAGUUUGGCGAACCACCCAGCUAGAGGGUGUGAGACAGGAGCUGCUUUUAUGUCAAUCUCCGUUGGAGAUUCUUGAAAGUAUUUUUGCACAACCGGAAAACAUCAAGCUUCAGGUCAUAUGCCUAUUGUGGAAGUGGUGGACUGAGGAAUAAUAUGAGGCAUGUAGAACGCAGACUGAAGCCUGAAGAAUUUAGUGCACAACUGUCUUUUGAUGUUGCUGAAUGGUGCCAGUUUUUCACGCCCUCCAAAGCCUGUUAUACAGGAUACGAGCAAGUGGAAGCCGCCAUCUGAGUUCGUCAAGAUCAACCUGGACUGUGCAUACUAUCCAGAAUCUGGUACGGGAGGUUGGGGCUGCAUGCUAGAGCGCCGCACGGAGAUAUCCUGUUCGCAGCCGCUGGACCGCUCAGUAACUUGUCUGCACUGUUACAGGCUGAAAGCAAUGCGAUUUUGAAGGCGAUCGACCUUUCAGAAAAUUUUGGCAUGGGCAAAGUCAUCUUUGAAACGGAUUGUCUAAAUCUGAAACAGGUUGUGUGUUCGGACGCCAGUGACAGAGCAGCUCUAGGAGCUUUAUUCAGAGAGGCAAAAUAUCGUCUCCGUUUGGGUUUCAUCGAGUACCGGAUGGAGUUCUCUCCCCGAAACUGUAACACACCAGCGCAUGUGCUGGCAAGUCUUGGUUCUCGGGAAGUUCAAAGUGACCAUACUCUGUGGAUCACGAAUUUUCCUGCUGAUGUAACCCAUGCAGCGGCCGGCGAUCUUGCCGCGACCACAUGUUAAUGGAAUGCAAGGUGUUUUAUAUAAAAAAGUAUACAUGUGUUCUUAGGCAAAAGAUAUGUAUUUUUUUUA